UACGUAGGGGGCAAGCGUUGUCCGGAAUCAUUGGGCGUAAAGAGCGCGUAGGCGGCCGCGCAAGUCGGAUGUGAAAACCCGGGGCUCAACCCCCGGGCGUGCAUUCGAUACUGCGCGGCUCGAGACAGGUGAGGGGAGAUCGGAAAUUCCUGGUGUAGCGGUGAAAUGCGCAGAUAUCAGGAGGAACACCGGUGGCGAAGGCGGAUCUCUGGGCCUGUUCUGACGCUGGAGGCGCGAAAGCUAGGGGAGCGAACAGG
rnacentral:rRNA from 1 species